rnacentral:rRNA from 1 species
UACGAAGGGGGCAAGCGUUGUUCGGAAUUACCGGGCGUAAAGGGCGCGUAGGCGGCCGAUCAAGUCAGGCGUGAAAUUCCCGGGCUCAACCUGGGGGCUGCGCUUGAUACUGAUUGGCUUGAAUGCGGGAGAGGAUAGUGGAAUUCCCAGUGUAGAGGUGAAAUUCGUAGAUAUCAGGAGGAACACCGGUGGCGAAGGCGGCUUUCUGGAUAGAUACCGACGCUGAGGCACGAAAGCUAGGGGAGCAAACAGG